UUCCAGACUCCUACGGGAGGCAGCAGUGGGGGAUAUUGCACAAUGGGGGGAACCCUGAUGCAGCGACGCCGCGUGGGUGAAGGAGUAUUUCGGUAUGUAAAGCCCUAUCGGCAGGGAAGAAGCAAGACGGUACCUGACUAAGAAGCCCCGGCUAACUACGUGCCAGCAGCCGCGGGAAUACGUAGGGGGCAAGCGUUAUCCGGAUUUACUGGGUGUAAAGGGAGCGUAGACGGCUGUGCAAGUCUGAAGUGAAAGGCAAGGGCUCAACCUUUGGACUGCUUUGGAAACUGUGCAGCUAGAGUGUCGGAGAGGCAAGUGGAAUUCCUAGUGUAGCGGUGAAAUGCGUAGAUAUUAGGAGGAACACCAGUGGCGAAGGCGGCUUGCUGGACGAUGACUGACGUUGAGGCUCGAAAGCGUGGGGAGCAAACAGGAUUAGAUACCCUUGUA
rnacentral:rRNA from 1 species